AUAACAUAGUGGAUGGCGUCAACCGCCGAGUCAGCAGAUUAAUAUUAUAAAAAGGUAGUGACCGCGUGGCUCGUUCUCUUUUUUCCUGAAGGCGUCUGAUCAACUACCGGUGGUAGAGUUGAAGAAGUUCCUGCCGAACUUAAGUGGUGUCAGAAGUGGGAUCGUGAAGGUGUUAAAAUAGAGGAAACAGUCCCGCCGCACGAUCGAGAAAACCCGGAUGCAGACUUCAAGACUACUAUGUUUCCUAUUCUGGACAUCUACAGCUUGGACAGACAUCCGCAUUUACGACCUGACUAAUAAUCCCAUAGCAAUCAUACCUCUCGGACAGGCCAGGAUUAGUAACAGUUAUAUCAGAGUAAUUCAUCCCGUAAAUUUAACAGCCAUAAAAGAUGCUAUAAAUUUGUUUGACUAUGUAACUAAAAAUUCUGAUUUAAAUAAUUCACUUUUCGAUCAAGUUAUUAGAAAAAAGAUAAAUAAAAUACACUUAACG